rnacentral:rRNA from 1 species
UACGAAGGGGGCUAGCGUUGCUCGGAAUCACUGGGCGUAAAGCGCACGUAGGCGGCUUUCUAAGUCAGGGGUGAAAUCCUGGAGCUCAACUCCAGAACUGCCUUUGAUACUGGAGAGCUUGAGUCCGGGAGAGGUGAGUGGAACUCCGAGUGUAGGAGGUGAAAUUCGUAGAUAUUCGGAAGAACACCAGUGGCGAAGGCGGCUCACUGGCCCGGUACUGACGCUGAGGUGCGAAAGCGUGGGGAGCAAACAGGGAGUUAAGAU